UACAGAGGUGGCAAGCGUUGUUCGGAAUUACUGGGCGUAAAGGGCGCGUAGGCGGUCCUCUAAGUCUUGUGUGAAAUCCCUCGGCUCAACUGAGGAACUGCACGGGAUACUGGAAGACUUGAGUUCGGGAGAGGGAAGCGGGAUUCCGGGUGUAGCGGUGAAAUGCGUAGAUAUCCGAAGGAACACCGGUGGCGAAGGCGGCUUCCUGGACCGAUUACUGACGCUGAGGCGCGAAAGCUAGGGGAGCAAACGGG
rnacentral:rRNA from 1 species